rnacentral:lncRNA from 1 species
AUUUGCGUCUGGAAAAGUUGAAAUGUUUUAACUUAAUCAUUUGUGUUAAUGGUUAAAUAUAAAUUAAUAAUGAAAAUUGUUAAAAUUAAAUCAAUAAAGGAAAUUAUUGCCCAGUUACAAACACUACCAGGGGAUAAUCCAUGAUGAUUUCUUUUUGAGUUAUAUGUUUCAGCACAUGUAUAUUUGACCCCAACUUUAGCCUGGU